rnacentral:misc_RNA from 1 species
UUUCCGUAGGUGAACCUGCGGAAGGAUCAUUACCACAUUCAUUUUCUUGAAACUGGGCGCGGAGGAGCGAUUGUUCCUCCCGUCCUUUCAACCCGAUUCGGGUGGGAACGCAUUGUUUUUUCUUUUAACCAGUGUCAGAGUGCUCCGCUCUUGCGGGCAUACGCUCAAUUUUAAACCCUUAACCCAAUUGACUUACCAAAACAAAAGCAAAAAACCGCGUACAACUCUUAGCAACGGAUAUCUUGGUUCUC